rnacentral:lncRNA from 1 species
UUUUAGAAAAAUCUACUUUGUUUCUUAUCUUUGUUUUUCUGUACAUAACUAUAUCAUUUUUUUCUGGUUGCUUUACAAAUUUUCUCUUUAUCACUGUUUUUGGGCAAUUUUAUUAUGAUGUGGUUUGGUGUAGCUUUUUUUUUUUCUUUUUUUGUGCUGGUUCUUGUGUAGCUUCUUGGAUCUAUGAUUUGCAGUUUUCAUCAAGUUUGGAUACUGGAUUAAAAUGAAGUGGUGAGUGAGCCAGGGUCCUUUUUCCUUUUGGUUAUUUCACUUAGUAGGCUUUGGUGUCUGAAAGAAAUGAGCAAGAUUUAGGAGAAAUCCAUCUAGAGAACAGAGGAGGGUGGAGGCUGCCCACAACUAAUAGAGUUAUAACUAUCAGCGUAUUUAUGAGGUUACCACAGAUAUGACCUCUUUUAAACGGGCAGCAUUGAAAGUGUUUCUUAGUCAUAUGUAAAUAAUUGAAUGUAUAUUGCACACUACUUGGAGGAAGAACUGAAACCUGGUUUAUCAAAUAACUGAAUUAGCUUCCUUUCUUGAUGAGAUUUUUCAAACAUCUUAAUUUCUAUCUGCAAAAGGUUUGAGGUUUGCUGUUUUGGGGAUCUGCAUGUAAAACUGUUUCAUCUCAUUGACCGGCUGAGACAUUUCUUCUUGGUUUAGCUUGAUUGUAUGUUCAUAUUGUUGGUUGUUAUCAUUUUAAAAGACACUGAGCCAAACUUGGAUGCACUGAUCAGAAGAAUUCACUUAAGUAAGUAAUUAAAAAAAAAAACAAAAUUCAUGUACCUGCUAGAUUUCAGAUACCGAUAAGAUACAUAAUUCCAUUUGGAAUUCACUGGAGUAGAGCCAGUGGCUCCCAUCAUCACCAGGAGUCAUUUUUUGGACUAUGAAAUGCUGCAUGUGACUUAGGAUAGUUCUGUGUGCUGAAUUAGUUCCAGAGACUUGAAUAUACAGGUCAGUGAACACACAGAAAUCUCUUUUGGUUCUAAAAAUAAUAAUGGUAUCUUUUAUUAUUUUUGGAACCAAAAGAGACUCUGUGUUCACAGAAAAAUGGUAUCUUUUAUUUGCAUAUGGUGUUAUAAUUUUGAAAACACAGAACUACAUUUUUAAAGAAGUUUAUAAUCCAGCUUGGGAAACAAAACAAAAAUAUGUAGAACGAUUAAGUGCUCAACUAUAGUUCAGCUGAUUAUAGAAGCAAAGGAAAAUAGAAGUAAAAAUCUAAAUAGAGUCAUUGAAAGAAGCUUUCUAUAGAUUGCUUAGU